rnacentral:rRNA from 1 species
UACGUAGGGUGCAAGCGUUGUCCGGAAUUAUUGGGCGUAAAGAGCUCGUAGGCGGUUUGUCGCGUCUGCUGUGAAAACCCGAGGCUCAACCUCGGGCUUGCAGUGGGUACGGGCAGACUAGAGUGCGGUAGGGGAGACUGGAAUUCCUGGUGUAGCGGUGAAAUGCGCAGAUAUCGGGAGGAACACCAAUGGCGAAGGCAGGUCUCUGGGCCGUAACUGACGCUGAGGAGCGAAAGCGUGGGUAGCGAACAGG